rnacentral:tRNA from 1 species
GGUUCUAUAGUGUAGCGGUUAUCACUCCGGAUUCUGAACUGUCAUCAGNGCAUUCCGGCAACCCCGGUUCGAUUCCGGGUAGGACCU